rfam:Zootermopsis nevadensis contig31660, whole genome shotgun sequence.
GCCACGGUGGUCUAGCGGUUAGAACGCUGGCCUUGUAAUCCUGGGGUCUCGGGUUCGAUUCCCGGCCGUGCCC